GCCCGAGUGGUGGAAUUGGUAGACACAGGGGACUUAAAAUCCCCCGGCCCUAGCCGGCCUUACCGGUUCGAUCCCGGUCUCGGGCACCA
rnacentral:tRNA from 1 species